UACGUAGGGUGCUAGCGUUGUCCGGAUUUAUUGGGCGUAAAGGGCUCGUAGGCGGCGUGUCGCGUCGGGAGUGAAAGCCCGCUGCUUAACGGCGGGUUGGCUUCCGGUACGGGCAGUCGCUGGAGUGCGGCAGGGGGAGACUGGAAAUUCCUGGUGUAGCGGGUGGAAUGCGCAGAUAUCAGGAGGAACACCGGUGGCGAAGGCGGGGUCUCUGGGGCCGUACUGACGCUGAGGAGCGAAAGCGUGGGGAGCGAACAGGAUAGAUACCCGUGGUAGUC
rnacentral:rRNA from 1 species